CAGAAAUUUGAGGAAGGAUUUUGGAUACUGUUGUCAUUGGGAAUUAAUUAGGACACCCCAAUCCUGGGCCACCUCAUUGCUUUGGGCAGGACUCAAAGACCCUAUAAAAGAAGAGCUGGCUUAGAGCACCUCCAACUCAUCUGACUUCUCCUAAUCCAUCUUGCUGGUGAACUUGGUUACAGACUCUCCCAGGAUGUCUCAGCAACAGCAGCAACAGUGUUGCCCCCCAAAGCAGCAGUGCUGCCCCCCACAACAGCAAUGUUGUCCCCCACAGCAGCAGACCAAGCAGCCUUGCCAACCUCCUCCUAAGUGCGCUCCCAAGUGUGCACCUCCUCCCUGCCAGCAGAAGUGUCCACCUGCCCAGAAGUGCCAGAAAUCAAAGCAGAAGUGAGUUCACCUCUCACACUGAAGAGAAAAUAGAGAGCAUCUCAACCCCAAGUCUUAACUGCCCUUCUCCCAGCCAGCCAGGUACUCACCUGGCUCAGGCCCCAGCAUGCCUGCUCAUCAUUGCUGUUGAGUUUCUGAAAGCAGCGCCAAGGUGGCGGCUUCCUCAAUCUUCACCUGCUAUUACAGUGGCACAAAAUCCCUGACAAGGAUCACAUCUGUUGGGAGCGUCUAGUCAUCACCACUGACAUGUAUCUACAUCUUUUGUCUGGCUUCUUGGAUUCCCCGGGCACUAUGCCUGGAUGCUCUCUCCCAUCAAUCUUUGUUUUCUGAUCCAUUAAAAAUAUAAUUGCUCUAGCACUAA